UACGGAGGGUGCGAGCGUUGUCCGGAAUCACUGGGCGUAAAGGGCGCGUAGGCGGCUGGGGAAGUCGGCGGGUGAAAGCCCGGAGCUCAACUCCGGGUCGGCCGUCGAGACUCCUCGGCUCGAGCUCACUAGAGGCAGAGUGGAAUUCCGGGUGUAGCGGUGGAAUGCGUAGAGAUCCGGAAGAACACCGGUGGCGAAGGCGGUCUGCUGGGGUGAGCUGACGCUGAGGCGCGACAGCGUGGGGAGCAAACAGG
rnacentral:rRNA from 1 species